rnacentral:lncRNA from 1 species
CUUUGUUCCCAUGUUCUGCAUGGUAUGAAGUGUAACAAGGGUGAGGGGUUUAGUGGGGGAGCAUAAUAUGCUUCCGGCACAUACCUAAUCUCCUCCAUGCUCUCCUGUCAUAUCUGGACAGAAUGCGUAGAGAUUUUACGGCUUUAGGGACACGGAAGCAAUGGAAAGUUACAGAUUAUUGCCAUCGGGGCUUGCAUUGUAUGCCUGAAAUCUCCUGCUGGUUUCCUGCGAGGUGACCGGACAGGGAUGACAGCACAUAGACCUUUUGGGAGGUCUGAAAUUGCUCGGACCCAACUAGCUAGAUCUGGACAUUCUUGGAAUAUGACUGUGCGGUGGUAACAUGGGAUGGGAGGACUGUUUGUUUAGUACCUUCAGUCUUGUGACUUUACCAUGUUUACAGUGCAGCUCUGCAAUUUUGCACAUAAAAGAGAGGGUGAACUCCCUCAUCUCAAUACUCCCAACAUUGAGGGCUUUUACUGUCUUUACAAACUGUUUGUUUGUCGAUGGCUUCUCCCAUCUCAACAAGCCUGUUUUCUAAGUCCAGGGGUGAUGCAUGCUUGGACAGAUGCAUGUCCAAGUGUGAGCCAGCUGCCAGGUUUCAGUGACCUCUGUCUGGUGUUAACAGAGCUUUGACAUGGCCAUGGAAAUGGUCGUUCAUGGGUGGAUGAGUGACAGCAGUGGUUUUCAGCUCACAGCGGUGGUCAGAGCUGCCUGGAAUAGCACACCCAUGUGAUCAACAGUCUAUUUGUAGGUGUGUGUACAGAGCGGGCUGCACUUACACGGGUGUCUCAAGAGAAGAGUGCAGUGAGGGGUCUGCUCUCUCGCUCUGUCGCACGCUCGUUGUCUAUGCCGGUGAAGUUUCACAGGUACUUUCAUUAUUCUGUUAGGCCUGUCUCUGAGCUCGGACCUCCAACGCGUCCAAGAGAAGUACCAUGGUUUUGAAGAAGCUGGCAGUCCUGGGGAAGCAGCUCCUGCGAGUGAAGGUGGUGGACUGCAGCAAUGAAGACACGCGCCUCUCACGCUGCCUCAACACCUUCGACCUGGUGGCGCUGGGCGUGGGCAGCACUCUGGGAGCAGGGGUCUACGUGCUGGCAGGCGCUGUGGCACGGGACAACGCCGGUCCUGCCAUCGUCAUCUCUUUCCUCGUUGCUGCGGCAGCGUCCGUGCUGGCUGGCCUGUGCUAUGCAGAGUUUGGCGCCCGUGUACCCAAGACUGGCUCUGCAUAUUUGUACAGCUAUGUGACGGUGGGCGAACUCUGGGCCUUCAUCACAGGAUGGAACCUCAUCCUCUCCUACAUCAUUGGGACGUCCAGCGUGGCACGUGCCUGGAGUGCCACAUUUGACGAGCUCAUUGGGAAUCACAUUGAGCAGUUUUGUCGUACCUACCUGAGCAUGCACGUGCCAGGCGUCCUUGCAGAGUACCCUGAUAUGUUUGCUGUGCUCAUCAUCCUCACGCUGACAGGUUUGCUGGCCUUUGGGGUGAAGGAGUCUGCUAUGGUCAAUAAGGUGUUCACCUGCAUCAAUGUCCUGGUGCUGCUCUUCAUGGUGGUGUCGGGCUUGGUCAAGGGCACACUCAAGAACUGGAACCUGGACCCCAGCAACAUUCUCAAUACUACUAAUUCUUCGUUCAACUCAUCGCUGCAGCUGCCAUCGAAGGAGAGCCUUGGAGUAGGAGGUUUUAUGCCCUUUGGCUUCACUGGAGUGCUGUCAGGUGCUGCUACCUGCUUCUAUGCCUUUGUGGGCUUCGACUGCAUUGCCACCACAGGGGAGGAGGUGAAAAACCCCCAGCGGGCCAUCCCCAUUGGCAUAGUUGCCUCACUCCUCAUCUGCUUUGUGGCCUACUUUGGCGUGUCAGCCGCCCUCACCAUGAUGAUGCCCUACUACCUGCUGGACAAGAUGAGCCCAUUGCCUGUGGCCUUCAAGUAUGUGGGCUGGGAGGGGGCCACCUAUGCAGUGGCAGUGGGUUCACUUUGCGCCCUGUCCACCAGCCUGCUCGGUGCCAUGUUUCCCAUGCCCAGAGUCAUCUGGGCCAUGGCAGAGGACGGCUUGCUCUUCAAAUUUAUCGCCAAAAUCAGCUCGAGAACCAAAACCCCCUUAAUCGCUACUUUAACAGCGGGUGCCGUGGCAGCGGUGAUGGCCUUUCUGUUUGACCUCAAGGACCUGGUGGAUCUCAUGUCUAUUGGCACACUAUUGGCAUACACUCUGGUGGCAGCCUGUGUCCUGGUCCUCCGGUACGUGCGAAUUAAAACGUUUCAGGUUUAUGUACUAGCAGUUCAAGGAGGGCUUGCACUUUGGAAUGUGAUACUCCUGAGUGUUCUGGUUGUAACCUGCCUGGGCCUCACGCUGGUCAUCUGGAGACAGCCAGAGAGCAGGACGAAGCUGUCUUUUAAGGUCCCCCUGCUGCCUUUCAUCCCAGUGAUCAGCAUGUUUGCCAACGUGUACCUUAUGAUGCAGCUUGACAGGGGUACCUGGAUCCGCUUUGCUGUAUGGAUGGCUAUAGGCCUGGUGAUCUACUUCACCUACGGGAUUUGGCACAGUACAGAAGCUAUUAUGGCCCGUUCCAGUGUUGAGGUCAACCUCAAUGGCUACAAGCCCGCCAGUACUACGGAGAAUCCUAUAGCCCCUGAGAAAGCGGCUUUUCUUGGUGUGGGGAGCGAAGAUGACGGGGAUCUCUAAGGAUCCUGGGGCACUGCCAGCUCCCUGAUUUCCCCCCAUCUAACUUUCUUGUAUUUUGAAAGCAAAUUGUGAUGCUUGAAUGACAUGUUUCAGUCAAAAAAGAGAUUACGGGCAAAUCAAAGGGAACCCAGGCUAACUGAGUUCGGACCGGCCCAAAUCAAAAAAAACACAAUAUUUCAUUUAUUUAUUUUUUGUUUUGUUUUAUGUGGAGAGCAUUUUGCAGUUGCAAAUAAGCUGUCUGUUUUGUUGUUAAUUUUAGAAUGGCAAAUGGAUUACAGCACUCUAGUAUGCAUUAAUAUACAGGUGGUCCUUGACGUACGAUGGGGUUACGUUCCAUGAAACCCAUCAUAAGUCAAAAAUAUUGUAAGUCGAAAAUGCAUUUAAUACACCUGACCUACCGAACAUCAUAGCCUAGCAUACAUGCGAUGGCCAUUACAGGCUUGCCACCUUUAUGCUGGGCACCCUCCUCCUCCUCUUCCCACCAGUAGCAGGAGACACAGAUAGGCAUUUCUGUGACAUUAUGGAUGCACAAAACACAACGUAUAUACCAGGGGGUAUCUGUAUAGCAACCAUGUGACAGACUGGGAGAUGCAGAUUGCUGCCGUUUUCCAGCAUUACAAGAGUAUCGCACUGCAUAUCACUUGCCUGGGGAAAAAGAAAAAAAAUCUAAAUUCAAAGUAUGGUUUCUACUGAACUUCUAUUGCCAGCUCACCAUCGUAAAGUCAAAAAAUCGUAAAUUGGACCAUUGUAAGUCAAGGAGCAUCUGUACGCAGACAUGCAGUUUCUGUUUCUUGGCUGUUAAUUAGGUCCAUUUGCCUUUCUAUUUUGGAAUUCAGUUGACAAAUGUUGCAUAAUUAUUUUAAAGGGCCUUUCUGUCCUCAACUGGCUCAAGAUUCAUCUUUGUGAUUAAAAGCUAUUUCUAGCAAUAGCUGGCUUUUUUUGGGUAGACAACAGUACGGGUUGUUGAAAUGCCUCAGUUCAGUUGGUGUUCUAUGCCAGUAGGGGACCCAAAAAAUAGCACAGAGUGAGCAAUGAUUGUAUUACAUCAAUAAUCAGGUACUGUGUGCCAACCCUGAGGAACCUCAAGUUCAUAACUACAAACAGCUCUUGGGCUGCUAUACUGUUAACUGUAUCAGGGAACGGCUCAUUUUUCACAAGAGACUUUUAUGCUUCAAAGUGCAAUUUUUUUUUAAAGACUACUGAAUGUGACACCUGUCAUUUCUCAUUGAAGAACCGACUGUACAACAUAACAGGUUACUUCAUUUGCAUUAUCUGAGGGCUGACCUGUAAUGUGAGAAUGCAGCUGUGAUGUACUAGUAAAUUAGUAAACCAGUUCUUUGUCUUUGAGUAUUGAAAUGUUAGUGAAAUACAGGCCGUGUGAAUGGAAAGGUUCCCAGCGAACAUUGUUGUAGUAUUUUCACUAUUGCACAGCACUAUGCAGUCUCCCACAUAGAAGUUUAACUCUGAUAGUAGCUAACAGGACAUUUUGUACUGGGAUUACAGUGCUGGUAAUUGUGUCUCAGCUGAAUCAAAUUAAUUUUAUGAUCUGCUAUCCCUUAAAACACAAAUAUGAAAUAUAUUUAAAAAGUUAUACUCUAGAUUUGGAUAUAGAAAAGAAUAGUCUAUUUUAUAAUAAAACCAUAAACUUUAUAUUCA